AAGCCGCUGCGCGUGCAUCUUCCGUGCCCCUUUUCUCCCGCCUUUGCGCGUCUCCCUGCUGUCCCCGGCACCGUCGCUCUGCGCAGCACUGACACCACCUCGGAGGAGCCCUGGUGGCUGUGGGGAAGCAGUUUGAUUUCAAGUUUCCGCCAAAGGAAUGCGGAGGGAGGGACGGAGCCAAUCUUCCCUCGGAUGUGUCGUGGGGCACCUCACUUACGCUGAGGUGGUUGUCAGUGAGAGCUUAAGCGUACCGCCUCAAACGUAAACCCCACUGAGUUCUAGCCUGUAGUCCUAUACACACAUUGCUUAACCUGGGAGUUUUUCUGAGCAGACAGCGCAGUCUGUGGUCGCCGUAGCGCCAACUUGUAUACACCUACCCAGAAAUAAAUCACAUUGAUUUAAAUGAGGUGUACUCACAGGUGAGUAUUAUGGGACUGCAGCCUGAUUGUGCUAGACUCAGGGUUUGUAUCUUUGCUGCCUUAUCCUAGGCUAGGUUUACUCUGAAGUAAGCACUAUUUAGUUCACUGGACUUUCCUCACAAGUGCAUGGGAUUGGAUUGUUAGUCAAAUAAAUACUUUUCUCAAUAAACCUUUGAGUAUGCAACAGUAGCAGUGCAUGGUGGUUUAAAAAUUACCUCCACCAGUGGAAAACUGGAAGUAAUAAUUACCAUGCAGUGUAGAAAUACAGUAGCUCCAAGGCUUUCACAACUCUUGAAGACCAGAGUUAUUGCAGCAUAGUAUUCUGCAGAGAAACUGUAGCACUGUUUCAGAUCCUUGUGCUAAACUCUAAAUGUACGUAAUAUGGAGUGGAUUGGCAUAUGGAUUUUCAGCUACAUUUGUUGCUUAAAGCUGACAUCUGCAUAGUUUCCUUUCCCCAUUUACGGUAUAUUCCUUUUGCAAAUAAAUGGUUGUCAUAUUGUCACAUGGUUAAUCUGAUAGUCAAAAUAUUCCAGCAGUCAAGAUAAUUGUAUGAUUAAAAUUAAUGUAAAGUAAUAACGUCUGUUUAUUGUGAGGGGAAUACUGUUUGUAUGAGGUAUGUUUUUCUUUACAUUGCAAUGUAGUCGAAGCAAAAUUCCAGGUAUGGUUGAUACUUGGCCAAUAAAUUAUUCUAGUCCAUUAUUCAGAUUGUACCCUUCAAAGGACAGCUUUAUAUAACUCAUGAAGGGCUCAGGCUGCAGUCCUAUGCAUACUUCUUUGGGAGUAAGACGACCUGAACUUAGUGAACAUAAGAAAAGAUGUGCUUGAUCAGACUAAAGGCCUAUGUGGCCCUGCAUCUUGUUUUCCACAGCAGCCAACCAGAUGCUCAGAAAAGUCCAUAAACAGAACAUGAGAGUAACAGCCCCAUUUUGCUGUUCACCAAACAACUGGUAUUCAGAAGCACGCUGCUUCUUGAUCUUGGAGGUAACAUGGCCACUGAUGGCCUUUUCCUCCAUGGAUUUGUGUGCUUCCCUUUCAAAGCCAUUUAAAUUGGUGGUAGUCACCACAUCUUGUGGCAGUAAAAUCCGUGUGCUGAGUGAAUAAGUGCUUCCUUUCGUCUGUCCUAAAUCACCCACUAUUCACCUUCAUUAGAUGACCCCAGGUUAUGGUGUUGUGAAAGAUGGGGAAAACUUUACCUCCUUUCUCUGCAGCUUGCAUAAUUUUAUAUACCUCUGUCAUGCUUCCUCUUGAUUGCAAUAUUUCCUUGUAGGGGAGUUGCUCCAACUCACUGAUUUCUUUGGUUGCCUUUUUCUGUACCUUUUCCAGCUCUACCAUAUGCUUUCAAAGAUACGGUGAGCAGAACUGAGAUUUGCUUCUGAAUAAGCCUGGGUAGGAUUGCGCUGAGAAGGACCUUGGCAACUAAGACCAUCUCUGCUUUCAUAGAUGUAUUCUUCAUAAAGAUGUCUAUAUCAUUGUCUGUUAUUUCUAGUGGAAGAAAUACCUGUGUAUACUUUCAGUGUCAGGUCUCUAAGAUCAAAGAUUAUUGCAAAACCCUGUAAUGUAGCCUUGAAAAUAACCACAUUUGGUUGCCUAAGGUUAUCUUCAGGUGACCAGGCAGAUGAGAUACAUUGAAGUAGGUUUGUUUUUACUUUGAGGCAACAAAUAAAUACAGAUGCAUGGAAAGGUCACCUAGUAUUGUUUGCCAUUUUAUUUGUGAAGUUAUUGUAUUGUUUAAAAACUCAUUCAUAAUGCAGGUGCACUUACAGCUUUUGGAUUUUUAGAGAUAAUUCAUCACUGAAUUAAACAAAUUCUAAUAAAAUUGGUCCACUGUAAAACUAAACUGCUUCAUAGUGUAAAUGAAAGCAAUUCUGCCAGUCUUACUAUACUCUCCUUGCUUGCCAUCUAGCCUGUCAGCUGUAUUUGCUGCUGUUGCCAAGGUUACUUUUUGUGUUGAAGUGUGAAAGGUAAUGCUGAAUUGUAAGUUGAUGUUUUCAUAUUAUUCAGAAGGAAGAACAUGUUCCUGCUAAUGACAUCAUGGCCCAGCUAAGAAGUGUUUGGGGAUUCAGGAUAGAGACUUUCAGCAUAUUAUGGGACUGACAGUGACCGGAUGUUGUAUAUAGUCUUUGUUUAUGGAUAAAACAGUACCUAGUGAUAUAGAAAAUAAGUGAAGUUCCUUAAUAGUUGUUUCAGUUUGUAGUAUGUAGAUGAAAUGAACCUGAAAAAAAGAUUGAAAAUUGCAGACUGAAAAAAAGCUGACCACAUAUAUACUGUACUAAGGAAGUUCCUCAUGGGAAUAGAAAUAUACAUGGAAAGGGAAAGGAUAGGUUAUAAGCCACUUAGAAGGCCUUUUGGCAUAUAAUAUCAGUUAAUACAGCAGCAGCAUGGAUGGAGGGCCUGUGGCCUUCCAAAUGUUGUUAAGUGCCAACUCCUACCACUCCUACCCUGCAUGACCGAUGGUCAGGGAUAAUGAGAAUUGUAGUUUAAAGCAUCUGGAGGGCAACAGGUUAUCUUUUGGAUGCAUGUUUGAUUAACAGAAAACCUUCAGGAAUUCUACUGUACUGCAUGUUCUUACACAGUCUGUGUAACAUCAUUAUACAUUGUGUUUCGGUUUUAAGGCAAACAAAUAUGAGUCUUGUUCUGACUAUCAUGCUCUGUUUAUAUACGGUAGAUAGAAAGCCUACAGCUGCUGUUGCAACCAUUUACUUUGAACUCUAGAGAGUAAUGAAACAAUUAUUGACAAACACAAGUCUCCUGUAAAAUAGAACACUAGGCAUAUAACUCUCCUGAGAGUUGUUUGGAUACAUAGGCAUUAACUUUUUUUUUGUAUUGCUACACAUGUGGAUGUGUUUGCUAAUAGAUAUUUAUUACUGUUCAGAUGGCUUCCCCCCUCGCUUUCUUUGUUUUGUAACUAUAUCAGGGGUGGGGAAACUUUUCUGUCCAGUAGACCAAGAACCGCCAGCAGACAGACAUGCAUGCAAAGACUUAAACUUUGGCGACAACAGUUAACAUACUUGAAGUGUGCUUCAAAGCGCUUUCAGUAGAAACUGCAUGGAUACGCACUUCAAAGUACUGAUGAGUGCUAAGAGACAUUGUUUUUGAAGUGCAUUUCCAUAUGGUUUAUGUUGAAACCUCUUUGAAAUGUGCUUCAUUGUAAAAGCCAUACCUUUACCUGCCUCCCAACUUAUGUUUGGUAUGGGGGAAAUGGUCCAGGAGGCUGUAUUAGGACCCCUGCUAGGCCUAAUUAGACCCACCCGGUGGAUGGUUCCUAUCCUGGGAUUAUGCUUUGUGCCAUAACUUUAGAUACAUUAAACUAUUCUUUCCCUUUAUGUAUGUCAGUCUUCAGUGAACAUUUUUGGCUCUUGUUUUGCUAGUUUUCUUUAUGACUAGGAAAAAUGCAGGUUUUCUUUUCUAGCUUUUCUUAAAUGAAAUCAUUUUAAGUUUAUGAGCCAAUUUUUUCUACAUAUUAACCUAGAUACCCUCCAAUAUUCAUGCUGGAGACAGUGAAAUGGGGGUUUUGUACUUGUUUUCUUAACCAAUUUAUAGUAUAUUAUUAGAGGCAGUGAGUUUAUGCCUGAGUAUGUACACAUUUAGAAGCAAGGCAAAUACUUUCUUCCAGUUUUGUGAAGAGUUGCUUCCUUCUUUGUUGCAAGUGUUUUCAUUUCUAUUUUUCUCCCUGUUUCAGCUUUGAGAUUAGUGGCCAUUCAAGCUGACCUGAAUUAUGACAUCAAGAGCUUCUGGAACAUCAAUUUCUCGGAAGAACUAUAGAUUAAGCACAGAGCCUGAAAAGUCCAAGGUUGCAGGGAUAGUGAACAGCAAACUCCUGAAUGAUUAUCUGCACCGCAUCUUUCCCAUUGCUGAUGGAACUCAGCCUACUGCUGCAUAUAGAAAUCACCUCUCCUUUCAAAACCUACAAGAACACGUAGAACAAUUGCUGGCAGAAGAUGCUGUCUCAGAAGAUGGUCAAGAUCAGGGGGUAGAGGGCAGGCUUGGCCCUUCUACUGUGGUGUUGGAUCACACCAGUGGUUUUGAAGGGCUCCUGUUGGUAGAUGAUGACCUACUUGGGGUAAUCGGACAUAGUAACUUUGGCUCUAUCAGAGCUACUACCUGUGUGUAUAAAGGAAAAUGGAUCUAUGAGGUGCUGAUUUCAUCCCAAGGCCUUAUGCAAAUUGGCUGGUGCACUCUCAAUUGCCGGUUCAAUCAAGAGGAAGGAGUUGGAGACACUCCAGAUUCAUAUGCUUACGAUGGGAAUCGAGUGCGCAAAUGGAAUGUGACCACAACCAACUAUGGUAAAUCUUGGGCAGCAGGAGAUAUUGUCAGCUGCUUGAUAGACCUGGAUGAGGGAAGCAUUUCUUUCUGCCUGAAUGGUGUGUCUCUGGGGACUGCUUUUGAUAACAUCUCACGAGGCUCUGGCAUGGCCUAUUUCCCUGCUAUCAGCCUGUCAUUCAAGGAAUCCGUUGCUUUUAACUUUGGUAGCCGGCCUCUCCGAUAUCCAGUGGAGGGAUAUCGGCCCUUACAGGACAAACCAGCUGCAGAUCUUGCGAAAGCGCAGAAACUGUUGGGGUACCUGAAAAAUGUUAUUCAUACUGGAAUAGAUGUUACGGAAGGGAAGCUGGUGGAAAGAGAGGCUUCCACGUGGCAACUCCAGGGGGAACCGACUGUUUUAAUCACCCUAGCACACAUUUUUAAUAGUUUUGCUCCCCUUAUGUGCAAAGUGUACUUGGUGGAAGAUGUGCUCAUGAACUUCCUACUCAGCAUCCUGGAAGGAGGAGGGUCUGUGGAAGCACACCCUCUUGUACAGCAGUUGCUGGAUCUCAUGUGGCUUCUCAUGGAGGAUUAUGAAGUACAUGAAUGCCUCAAGCAGCUGCUGAUGUCCCUGCUCAGGGCAUACCGCUUCUCUCCCAUUGUUCCUGAUCUAGGCUUACAGAUUCACUACCUCCGUCUCACUAUUGCUGUCCUGAAGCAUGAGAAAUCCAGGAAGUACCUGCUUCACAAUGUCCUAUUUGAUGUGCUCCGCUCAGUUGUGUUUUUUUACAUCAAGAGUCCUUUGCGUGUGGAGGAGGCUGGUUUACAGGAGCUCAUUCCCACCACUUGGUGGCCAAACCGCUUCAACAAAGAGGGCAAAGAAAGUAAAGAGAUAAAAGAUGAGACUUCUGAGGAGAGACUGAGGAGGCGAGCGUAUGAAAGAGGAUGCCAGCGGCUCAAGAAACGCAUUGAAGUGGUGGAGGAACUCCAAGUGCAGAUACUGAAGUUGCUGUUGAACAAUAAAGACCAUGGUGGGGGAGGAGCUUCCAGAUACAUCUUUCUAAAUAAGUUCCGCAAGUUUCUUCAGGAAAAUGCCAGCAACCGAGGGAAUCUGACUGUGCUGUGUCCUCCAGAGUAUAUGGUUUGCUUCUUGCAUCGACUCAUCUCGGCCUUGAAACAUUACUGGGAUGAGUACAACAUGAAGAACUCCUUAGCAAUGAGCAGUGAAGAUGCAUAUGUCCCCCCUCAGCUCUUCUAUAAUGGGAAGGUGGAUUACUUUGACCUCCAGCGACUUGGGGGACUCUUGUCUCAUCUCAAGAAGACCCUCAAAGAUGAGCUUGCUUCAAAGGCAAAUAUUCUGAUUGACCCUGCAGAACUUCAGGCGGUGACAAUGGAUGAUCUUGAUGAAGAUGAAGAGUCAGCAGUGUCAGCAGCACAACGUCCAGCUGCGGCACUGGCAAUUGGAGGUGCCUUGGCCAGACCAAGCUGGCUUAGUUCACCCACCCUGGGGCGGGCUAACCGUUUUCUCAGCACUGCAGCUGUUAGCCUUAUGACUCCAAGGCGGUCACCAGGUGCCUUGGAGAAAGUUAAAGUUCGUAUGUUGAACAUGGAACAAAGGACAGAGGAGGACAUUGAAGGCAGCCAUGGAAAUGAGGGCCUUUUACUGGGGAGACCUGCCGAAGAGCCAGAACAACCAAUCACUGAGAAUUCUCUUUUGGAAAUCUUGGAUGGAAUAGUCAUGAUGUACAACCUCAGCGUGCACCAGCAGCUUGGUAAGAUGGUAGGUGUUUCCGAUGAUGUGAAUGAGUAUGCUAUGGCACUGAAAGACACUGAAGAAAAGAUUAGCCGAUGCCCACAGAGGAGAAGUGACAUCCAUGAUGAACUGGUGAAGAGUCAGAAGGUUUUCUCAGAGAAACUUAAUCACCUGAGUCGCCGACUUGCUUGGAUUAACGUUACCAUUUAUUCAAAGGAGAAGAUGCAAGAUAUAUACUGGCUGCUACGGGUAUGCAUCCGCACUAUUGAGCAUGGAGACAGGAUUGGUUCGCUCUUUGCUUUUAUGCCAGAAUUUUAUCUGAGUGUGGCUAUGAAUAGCUACAGUGCUCUCAAGAACUACUUCAGUCCUGUCAACAGCAUGGAAGAGCUUCCAGGCUACGAAGAGACUUUGACUCGCCUUGCUGCCAUUUUAGCCAAGCACUUUGCUGACUCAAGGAUUGUGGGAACAGACAUCAGAGACUCCCUAAUGCAGGCAUUGGCCAGCUAUGUUUGCUACCCACACUCACUCCGUGCUGUAGAGAGGAUUCCAGAACUGCAGCGAAUAUCCAUGAUGAAGAACCUGCUGGCCCCCUAUGAGCAAAGACCCUGGGCCCAGACCAACUGGAUCCUUGUACGACUGUGGCGAGGCUGUGGAUUUGGAUACAGGUACACACGGCUUCCUCAUCUCCUGAAAACCAAGCCAGAAGAUGCCAAUCUCCCCAGCUUGCAGAAGCCUUGUCCCUCCACCCUGCUGCAGCGACACAUGGCGGACCUGCUGCGGAGUGAUCGUGAAAUGGCACCCAGUUUCCUCAACAGUGUGCUUAACCAGCUGAACUGGGCCUUCUCAGAGUUCAUUGGCAUGAUUCAGGAGAUCCAGCAAGCUGCAGAGCGCCUGGAAAGAAACUUUGUAGACAGUCGCCAGUUGAAGGUGUGUGCAACGUGCUUUGACCUGUCGGUGAGCCUGCUCAGGGUCUUGGAAAUGACGGUCACACUGGCUCCUGAGAUCUUCCUGGACUGGAGUCGCCCCUCAUCAGAGCUAUUACUCAGGAGACUUGCACAGCUGCUAAAUCAGGUGCUGAAUCGUGUGACAGCUGAGCGGAACUUGUUUGACAGAGUGGUCAAUCUUCGUCUGCCAGGACUGGAGAGCGUAGAUCACUAUCCAAUCCUUGUGGCUGUGACAGGAAUUCUGGUCCGGCUGCUUGUUGAUACUGACUUCCAAGGGUAAGUGCUGCUUAAUUCCACUCCAUGGGGAUGAAGAUUUCAUUGCUUGUGUUCUAGUUUACUAUCCUGAAAUGAGCAGCCUGGCAGUAUUGUGUAUUAGGGUAAUGAUGCAGUCUUUGUCUUUGCCCUCUGUUUUCAUAGGUUCAGUCUGGUUGCAGGAUAGUAAAUCCCCAAAUAAUUUCUGUCUUGUAUGUUGGUCUCUGGGUGUUAUUGUACUGCGACUAUAGUGUACUUGAGAGCUAUUUAAAAGAAAAAAGGGGGAGACAUCCUGUCAAUUUAAACCUUUCAUUGAAUUAUUUAAAGAGGUAGCCAACGUGGUGCCCUCCAGAUGUUGUUGGACUACAACUUGCAUCAUCCCUGGCCCUUGUUGGCUGAGGCUGAUGGGAAUUGGAGUCGAACAACAUCUAGAGGAUUGGCCACUCUGGUGUAAAUAUUCUGGUGGGUUACUGUGUUUGCUUUUGUUCUCUGUUUGCUUCUGUUCUCUGCUUACAUGGCUAUGUAGCUCAUGCAAGCUAUAUUCUGUUCCUUGGUUGUUGUGUGGUGUGGGUUCAUGGCAGAUUCUGCUUAGGGGGUGGACAGUUGGACAAGAUGGUCUUUAGUUCUACCAGGGGUCAGCAAACUUUUUCAGCAGGGGGCCGGUCCACUGUCCCUCAGACCUUGUGGGGGGCCAGGUUAUAUUUGGAGGGGGAAUGAACGAAUUUCUAUGCCCCACAAAUAACUCAGAGAUGCAUUUUAAAUAAAAGGACACAUUCUACUCAUGUAAAAACAUGCUGAUUCCCAGACCGUCCGCGGGCCGGAUUUAGAAGGCAAUUGGGCCACAUCCGGCCCCCGGGCCUUAGUUUGGGGACCCUGUUCUGCUCUAUUCUUGCAAUAACUUAAAAGUGAGAUCUGUCAUAUCUCUGUAUGUUUCUCUUCAUCUUCUUGUUCUUCUGUUUCUAGAAAGAACAAGCUUUGGGAUUUAGAUCAGGGAAUGGUCCUGCCCAAAGGAAAGCAGGCCAUUUCUUUUUACCUUUAUGCAUAGGCACCACACACAUCAUGCUGUAGCAAAACAAUACUCUUUCUACAUAUGCAAGUUACCUUCCUAAUCUGAGCAAUGCUGGCAGCAGAUCGUUUAGAUGGAUAAAACUGUAAAGGCAUGCUGUGUUUAGUUGUGUUAAACAGUGAAUAUGUCUAGCUGCAGUAGCGUAUGACAGUGGAAAAUAAGCCAAGUCCCAAGGGAAGGUGGCUGCUGACAUGCCCCUCCAGAUCCACUGCAGUGUGGCUGAUGGCAUUCUUGCUUUGCCUUCAUUGCCCUUGUUAUGGUACUCAGACAGACGUGAUGGACAAGUCCCUUCCACAGCUCUCAGGACUUUUAGAGACAGUGGGUUGACACUCGCUUGUCAUCUGAUAUUCUCUUCUCCCAUCCUGUUGUGGCUUUUUUUUGGGGGGGGGACAAAACUAGCCAUUCCAUUUAGGUACCAGUAGUACCUACUCUUCUGAUUUCCAUGCUCUCCAACCUAGAAAAAAUCAUGUCUCCUAACAGACAAGGUACAUUAGUUGAAUCCUGCCCUGUAGUUACCAGGACGGGGGGAAACCAGGCCAGGAUAUUAAACCAUAGUUGGAAGGUGGUUUAAGAACCUGGUUGUUCUGAUCCUGAUUAUCAUAGUUUCAUGGUUCAGAUGUAGCAAUAAAUUACGGGGAAUUGAAGACCUCUGGAGUUAAUCGCAGCAUGCUAAGACAGGAAGAAGUGGUAUCGCUGGCACAAGAUUUGUUCAUAUCUUGGCUGAUUAAGUUUUGAUACAAUCAUCUGAAUGAGGUAAACAACUUCUCAAAUGCAGGCAGUCAAUUAAUACAAUUUGCAUUUAAUUCCACUCUUUUUUAUGUCUACUGCGGAUCUUAAAUUAGUAUUAAAAACAGCUUUCAGCACUUCCUCUCACCCCUCUGCCUUACUUGGGAAAGGACACCUUUUACUUCCUGACCUUCCAACUUGAGGAGGAAAACGCAUCAAGCUGCUAAAAAGGGUCCAGAGGGGUGUUUCUAAAAGAAGGGUGCAUCCACUCCCCUAUGAAACACAUGCAAAUAUCCAUCCUGAUCAUGGAGAAAUAUGUGCAUAGCCUCCUUCUAAAAUGAGCCUUAAUUGCAUUCAGGUCUAGGGAUAGGCAUUUGACAGGUCAAAAAUAUUUGGCCCAUUUGAUCAGUCAGACUGUAUAAGAAAAAAAAGAUAUUCUCAAGUGGGUUGAUACUUACGUUAACUGCAAAAACAGGUUAGAUAACUGUUAACUGUGAAAGAAUGAAAUUCCCUUUUUAAAAGCAAUGCUUUGAAUUACAGCUUUUAACAUUGUUACAUAAGGUUUCUAUAAAAGUGAAUGAUUUCCUGAGCAGUUCUCCUCAUUGGCUUUUAUCCUGGAACAGCAGGGCCAGUCUGUAGUUGUAUUUUUUGUUAUAAAGGAAAUCAAAGCAAAAAUAAAGCAAAGUAACAACUAUUUAAUAACAAAUGACACUUUUAAAGGCACAUGCUAGAUACCAAGCAGGUUAGUUCUUCAAGCAGCACCAGUAUCACGGCUACUUGGAAUAUUUGACAAUCUUUUAGAUUCAAAAAAUUAAAUAGGUAGCCAGUCAGUCAGUGUGGCAACUCUAUUCAGAUUGCUUUUAUCUUGCCUAUGUUCUAGUUUAAUCCUUCUCAUCGAAAUGCAGUCCAUAUGAAACUGUUGUGUCACAUUUCAAUUUCUCAUUCGGCAUGUCUUAUUUUUUCCAAAAUGUUGUCCUUGUUUUGCAGACAGCUGAGCUCCAUGUGGCUAGGCAUUUUAGUUCUAUAAGCAGGCUAUUUCUGAUCCUCUCCACCCCCCACCAAGGCCUUCCAGAUAGACACAAAUCAACCUAAUUAUAUCCUCCCUCCUGUGGUCAAAGCCACAUAGCCCUAAAUAUAAAUGUGCCAAGCACACCAUAUUACAGUGAAUUUUUAUUUUUUUGAAUCUGGUUGUGGGAAACCCUAUAGAGGCCAAUCCCAUCCCACCCAAAUUGGGUAACAAGCUCCCUCCAUCCCUUACCUUUAUAUCAGCCACAGCGGCCUCAGCAGGGAUUCUGGAUCUACCACAGCAUCUUGUAUGCCUUCUUGCCAGACUGAACUCCUUUCAUCAUUGAUCCUGUACACUAUCUAGCUUCUACACUAGUUCCUUUACAGCCCAGCUGAUAUGCUGACAGCCAGAUGCAAUCAUAACCCUCCCUGUCCCUCUUUCCUCAGCCCAUUUGCUUCCUGCUCUGUGGGGAAGACUAGGUGUUUCUUAUCUUCUGCCCAUGUUGUCCUCAUAUAGAGUGCCCUCAAUAACACAUUGCUUUUUGAGGAAAGGUCAUAUUGCAUCUUUCAUUGAUAGGAACAGACUAAUGAUGACAUAUUACUAUUAAGCAUUUUUAACAUGGCAUAUGAGAUCUACAGCAAAUUCCUGGACAAAUUUUGUGUUAACAAGAGUAAAUCAACAGCCUGAGGAUAGAGUAGGCUGCAUUUUCCAAGUGAAAACAGCACAUUGCUUAAUAACCUCCAACAGAUAUUUGUUCGCUAAUUGUGGUGAAAUAUGGUCCUUCUCUCAGCAGUGAUUGCAGCUCAUUAUAGAGGCCUCCCUUGGACUGUUGUUGUAUCAUAUAACUUCUAAUUUUUUUCUGACGCAUGAACGGCAGAUGGGAAUGGGGCUAAUUACCGUCUCUUUGAUCUGUAGCUUAUUGCUGCUGCUGGCUUUCAUUGAAGAGGGAUCGGGUUUUGUUCUGUUGGAAGGCUAUGGAGGGAGCAUGAAUCUAGGGUCUUUCUCUCUUAACUCUGUGACUUGAGCAAUAGUAUUUUCAUAGUUGUAAUUGCUAUGAGAUCAUAUUGGAGGUGCUUUUGCAGAAAUGCAUGGAUGAAUCAAGAGUUUUCAAGGGCCUAGGGCAAUUAACAGAGUCUAUAACAGGGAUGGCUGACCUCCAGCAGCAAAUUUUUCUGAUCCCCAAGCCCCCAGCAAUUUUAGCAGUGGGAGUAAAAAGAAAGGGGGGAAAACCAUGAUACUGGGCUUUAAACCUCUUCUUCCAGUUUAACAGCCUCCUGUCAAUGCAAAUUAUCCCUUCCUCAGCUGAUUUGCAGAGAUCAUCUGAAGAGGGGAGACUGUGUGUCCUGUGCAUGGCCGAGGGUGGAUGUGGCUCUAUGGCCAAAAAAAAGGGUUCUCUAUUCCUGGCCUAGGGAGAUAUGUAUAAAUAAGAUGGUAACAGUGGGGGAAGGACAGGAUUUGGAAUCCUUGGCAGACCUAUGGAACAGCUUUUCAGGUAUCUCCUGAUCAUGAACUUGCAUCACAUCAGUUGAUUACUUACAUUACUUUCUCUUCAGUUUACUUGCUGUAGAUACCCCAGGUAGAAAUCCUCAUAGCAGACCUUUAACUGCCGUGCUCUAAUGGUACAUUUGGUUAGAAGUCCCAUUGAUGCUUACCUAUAAAAUGGCAGCCAUUCUUCUGCAAUGCCAGGCAUAGAGCCAACUAGUUUCUUUCCUAUGGAAGGCUGAGCUGCUUUGGUUUAGAUGGAAAAGGUAUGGGUGCCUUUAUGAAUUCCAGUUGCUGACUUAGUUAGACCAGAAUGGGAUAUUGUGAACAUUUAGUCGCUAAAUGGAUAUCAUUUAAGCAGCCCCAGAGUAUUAGGUUGAACUGCAGUAUACAUUGUGCUCUUUAACAAACUUACAAUAAAGAUUGUUAAAGGGUCUUCUACACCAGGUUUGGAAAACCCUGAUCUACACUACAAAGUGAAACUGCUUUAAGCCAGUUUAACUGUCAUGGUACUGAUUUCCUUCCAGUGAAGUCUGAUAAUUGCAGUUUAUUUGAUAAUUAUUUUGGAAUCUAUUCUGGAGGUAUGUGUGCCAGAAUGAGAUGUGGUAUUCCAGUAAGGAUGCCCUUGUUUCUAUAUACAAAUGUGUUAACCACUUGUAGACAUCACUUUUUCAAGAUUGGUAGAUGGAGAACAAGAAGGCACACUGGGAGAGACCUUAGGCCAGGGGUGUGAGCAAUCAGUGGCUCACCAAACUCUUUGUGGCUUGGGAGGCAUUUAAACUUAUCAUGUAGCCUUAUUAGCUGAUAAGGGUCCUUAAAUUGCGCCCAGGCAAGGACAGAGACAGUCAACAAGACUCCAAGGGUUGAAUUCAGAGAAAGAAUUUAAUUUCUUAAAUUUAAGAGACUCUUGGUGGUCAGCUCCACGACAAGAGUAAGAAACACAAAUUUGCAAACAUUCUUAUACACUUCUUGGGCUCCUUCCCCCUCCUCUGUAAAUGUGCACAUGCAAGGGGGUCACAAGUACAUAUAAGGAAGAUCCGUGUCCGGUCCUGUGCAUAAACACAUGCUGACUCAUGCUACCCCGGUAGCAUCUUCCAGCAGCCUUGAGUAAGACUAUGCGUCAAGCAUAGCAGCUUCCAAUGUCAAGCUCAUCCACUGAUAAGCCCCUCUCUGUGUUCCAGACAAGGCCAGCUCUUAGCCUUGAACGCUUGUUUAACUGGGGCUGGCCGGGAAAACUGGGCUGGUGACAAUUACAUGCCAUCCUUUUCAAUGAGCUCAGUUAUAUUACUAUAAAUUCCUAUGAUUUCCAGACCAUGACAACUAUACUAAAAGGCCUUAAUAAUGUCUAAAGCAGGCAUACAGAAUUGAGAAGUAGGGAUCUCCCAUGUAGGGGUUUGCAAAGGGGAUCCCCAAGUCUUGGUGUGGCUUAUUACACAACCAUAACUUGUGGCUGCCACUGAUCAUUCCCUUCAGGGUGGUUCUCCUCACUUGCCACCCUCCUUCAGAAGCCUAGCAAGAAGGGAGAAAUGCUGCUCCAACUUUCUUUCCUUGAGUUGUCCGUGGAAGAAGAAAGGGUGCUGCUUCUCUCAUGCUGGGCUUUUGCAGGAAGCACCAGUAGCACCUCACUACUGCUACCUCCUGCAAAAACCCUACAGGAAUAGGAUCUUUGUUCGGGGCAUGUCCUCUCAUGAGUGGACUUAUAGAACCCUGUUUAGAAAUACAUAAUGACCUGGGAUUCAAAGAGCUGCUUUAGGCAUGCCCCAAGGCCUGAGCCAUGCAUGCCUAAUAGGAGUUUUGAUUCCACCCUCACCCCCAUUGGGCAAUAGACCACAAUACAAAGCAUAGCCUUUGCUUGGAGAAUCAGUUUCUUUUGAAACUGUGCUAACAUUGAAGAGAGUCCCAUGUGUCCUCAGUUGAGCCUUGGAUAAUGGCUAUGGAAACUGGCACCCUCCACAUGCCUCAUUCUCUGCAUCUUGAGUUGCAUUUGACAGAUGUUCUGUCCCACUGGCAGAUUGUCCUCUUGGAAAAAACCACACACAGCUAAUAUGUCAGCAUGAUAGUCUUAGGCAGGGAUGCGAGUGUGCAUCCUAGCGAUUUGCUGGUUGCCAUGGUUGUGAUCAGUCACCAGCUAUUGAGUUCUUGUCUUAACUGGCCCGUGCUGUUGUCAGCACAUACCCCAGUGUGAUUACAAAGCUGCAGGAGCAAUGUAAUGCAUCCUGAGAUGGGCAUCACAUGGCUCCCAUUUCAAUUCAUAUAACUAAAGUUGGGGAAAAGUGUUGCUGUUGGACAGAUGGCAAUAAUCAUUAGGCUUUCCCAAUUUAUUUAGGAAUGUUCAGCAAUAGGUGGGAAUAGUAAAUUAUGCAAUGAGAAGAGCUUUGUUAUGGGAAGGAGGUAGGGUGUGAGCUGCUUUCUGCAGUUAGAAGGGCAAGAAAUCAUAGAAUUGUAGAAUUGGAAGGGACCUGAAGGGUCAUCUAGUCCAACCCCCUGCUAUGCAGUAAUCUCAGAUAAAGCAUCCAUGACAGAUGGCCAUCCAAUCUCUGCUUAAAAACCUCCAAUGAAGGAGAGUCCACAGGCUCCCAAGGGAGACUGUUCCACUGCUGAACAGCAUUUACUGUCAGAAAGUUCUUCCUGAUGUUUAGUCGGAAUCUCCUUUCAUGUAACUUGAAGCCAUUGGUUUGAGUCCUACCUUUCAGAGCAGGAGAAAAUAAGCUUGCUCCAUCUUCUCUGUGACAGCUCCUCAGAUAUUUGAAGAUGGUUAUCAUAUCUCCUCUCAGUGUCCUUUUCCCCCAGGCUAAACAUUCCCAGCUAAACAUAAUCCUGCCAAAUGAAGCCAUCUAUGAUGAACUCUCAUAUUUUGAAGAACAGAGGAAAGUAAUCUUCAUGUUUUGACUUUGUGUGCCAUUCAUAGUUAUUACUCUGAAAACAUCUGAAAUGUUCUCUGAAUUCAUAAGCUGUACCUUUCGGAGAACAUUAGACACUUUAGCCUAUGGCUGAAAAUAUGGAGCUCACCUUUGUGCACAGUGUGAUUAGUUCUAAACUGGUAAUCUGUUUGGUUUUUUCUUCCUACGUUUGUGCAUUGGACACCAUUUAACCCUUAUAAUAUCUGACUAUAUCUAUAUAUAUAUAAAUGUAAAAAUGAUGAAAGUGUGUGUUCCACUUUUCUCCAUAACCGCUUGACCGAUCGUCCUGAAAUUUUGACACAACGAUCCAGGCCACUCCCCGAGCGUUGUUGGAAAAGAAAAUCCCUCAAACCUCACACCUGGGCAGAUAUAUACCUGGUUUUCCACCAAGUCAAACAGCGCCCUCAAGUGGCGUUAUUCCCUCAGCUCCUCCUCCUACACCCCCUCCCUUCCUGUGAAAUCUACACCACACCCACAAACCAAAUGACAUCAUCAACCAAGCAACUGAAACCACCAAGGCGGCCAUUAUCAGACCCCUAGGCCCCUGCCAGGCUGCUAGACCCCCAGUAGGCCCGGGGGGGGGGAGAGAGGGCGAGCGCCCGGAUUUCAAGUCACAGCACGGCCUUUGUUUUAUGUAUGCCCCUGCCAGGCCCCCACUAGGCCCGGGGGGGGGGAAAUAACCCACAGCAACGCACUUGGGGGCACGGCAAGGGGUUUUUACUUUAAAAUUUAGCACCACUACCCCCCAAAAAAAUUCCCCACCAAAUAACCACAAGACAAAAAUAAAUACCAUCCUUCAAAACGUCAUGAGAUACGCUGGUCACGGAGGGGGGGGCAAACAGAAUAGAUCAUGGAUCGGCAUACGUGGGGGCAGUCACAGGGAUUAGCCACAACAACGCGCCACACCCACAAACCCCGCCUCCGCCACGAGAUCCUGUAAAGCAGGGGGACCUAUUACCCUCCAUUUGACAGACCCGCCUCCACCACAAGAUACACCACUCACAUACAUGCAUCCGACAGAGGUGUUGAAGACCAAAGCAACUGAAAACAUGUAGGUAGCCGUGUUGGUCUGACGUAGUCGAAACAAAAUUUAAAAAAAUCCUUCCAGCAGCACCUUAA